CUGUCUCUUCCUUCAACAGUGUUUGGAGGAACAG
rfam:Myotis lucifugus cont2.12338, whole genome shotgun sequence.